AUGUUUUUUUUUUUUUUUGAAUGUUUUGCAUUUGAAAAUAUUUUGCGUUGGUUUUAUUACCACAGUUAAUUUUGUUCAUUAGAAACUCUUGUCAUUCAUGCUUUAUUAGCUAAAACCAUGUUGGUACACAAGGGUUGGUCCAGUGCUUCUGAGGCAAGAACCUAAGAGAGACUUUGGAAAAGUUGUAAAGCUUUUAAGUGUACACACAGCAAACCUGCUUGUUCCGUGACUUACUGCCUUAAUUGCAUACAAGAUUCACGACUGGGACAGGACAAGAAAAUAGCCAGUACUUUGCAUGUAUCUUAGUCACUUGUAUAAGCAGCUAGGUUUUUACAGUAGUACAGUCUCCAGGCAAGUGCAAUUGUGUGUGCUUUAACUUUUCUCAGAAAUGUUUCAUUGUUGACCGAGUGAUAUGACAUACAAAGUGACAUGUUAACCUAUCUAAAACUAGUGCCGUGCUCAAGAGGCAACCACAUCAUCAGUCGACUGCUGAUUUCUUUUACCACAGUGUCAUCAGUAACUGAGACAUUCACAUUUGAAAUCAGAGGAGCCUCAAAUAGGUAUGCUUGUCCAUUACUCUUUAUUUAGGUUUCAGUUAUCCACAACAAUGUUACUGAAUAAUUGUAAUUUCAUCCAUGAUUUUAGUUAUCUGACCUUUAUUAAAAUGCAUUUUUCCAUGUGUGCAGGGGUCCACUGAGAACGUGGGACAUGACGCUGGCAUUGCAUGGUGUGUUCAAACCCCUCACUAACAUGGUGAAUAGGUGAGCAAGUUGGGGUUUUGAAUGCAGUUCUGUGGCACAGAAGAAUUUAUGAAGCUAGGUCAGGAGAAAAUAAAGUGUUGAUGAAGCUGGCAAACUCAAGUACAUUCUUCAAAAUGCCAUUUUUCUCUGGCAAUAUAAUGUUAGUUUGGAGUACAGCAAUAAUUGAAUUCCUGGGACUGAUUUGAUACAGGCUUUGUUACAGUCUCAUGAUAUCUAUGUGAAGAUGUUGAAUAACACUGAGUAUAUAAAAUGCUGGACAAAUGAUCAGGCAAGUAUGCAGUCAUAAUUGUAUAAUGCUAAGAAAUGACAGCUGCCUAAGAAGAGAUUAAAAAAUAAGAAUGGAGUUUUAUGGGACAGACAUCCUAGGUCACACUGUGUUAUUCUAGGGAAUAUUUACCUACCAGGAGUUGUUGAAUGGCCUCUGUAAGGGUAUUGUUUUGUUUCAGUGUCUAAACACUACAUUACUGGUGAUGUGUCUGGGUUUGGUUUUCAUUGACAGUGUAGUAUUGAGGUAGUUUCAUGUUAUUGAGGGUUUCUUACAAUCUGUGGGAUAUCCAUACUGGUGACUUGCCCAAAGUCAUGUUGGUAGGUGAACUUGGGCCUUUAGAGUAAGACUAAAUUCAGAUGCUGACUUGGUGGUUUUAGAUGGGUGGCCAAAGUUUUUACUUGUUGUAGAAAAUAGUGACUUUCCUUUGGAAAGGAACAGUGGUUAUGUUAAUGUAUACUUUUUUUUUUCUUCUUGUUUUUAAAGGUGUGGUACUGGACUUCCUGUUGAAGGGUGGAGAUGAAGGCAGGUACUUCCUGCUUUCCAGGCAUUUGGGUGUCAUGUUUUCCUGUUGCUGUUAUUGGUUUUGGCCUUACAGAGUAUACUUCUUGUUCUAUGCUGCUAGGUUUAGGUUGGCUGCACACUAACUGUAAGGAACUGGAAAUAUCAGAGAUAAUGGGGCAAGAACACAAAACUUGCCUGCUUCAUUGGUGGCUUUAAUGUUUGGUUUCUGUCUUGGUUUUGUACUCUUGCCUUAUGAUGCUAGCUUUCAGAGAUUGCUGUUGUAGGGAAUUAAGUUCAUGGAGUAGCACUGAGAGAGUCAAGCAUCAGGAUGUCAAGGUUCUUGCCAGGUGAAAUGGUAUGGGUUUUCUGAGUUGUGGCUGUUGUGAAGAGUUAAAAUAACACAGGAAGAGGAGUAUGUUCAGAAAUCUGAUUUAAAGUAUUAUUGGCAGGGCAUAGCUAAAGGAAAGUGUCACUGAGCCAUGUCCAGUUAGAUUCUUGGGUACAUCCAGUUCUCUAAUGCUUCUUCUGUUGUGAAUAUCCAACUUUAACAUUUAGAAUAUUAACCAGUCUAGAUGCAAAUGAUUUUUCUGGUUUGCAUGUAACAAGUGUCAAAGCAGAUAAUAAAUGAUUCAUUGGUUUUCCUUUAAUGUUUAUUAUUUACUCUGACAUUAAGAUUGGAGAAUGAUGAAUCAAAGUACUUGAACAGGAUUUUUUGAGGAAACUUUGAAGAAUUUGGGAUUCUUCUGCAAUAUUUGAGUGAUAGCAGUUCAUUUGUUUCCUUUGCCUAUUCUUUUAUUGAUGAGACAGUUUCUCAUGGUAGAACUGACUGUCCUAGGACUUGAUUCUGGGAAGUAUCUAAGAACAGAAAUGGAAUACAAAUACAAAAUAAAUACUUGAAAGUGUCACAGCAGUCUGGCGAGGAAAACUGAAGCCUGUAGGAUGAGUUGUUGUCAGUCAGGAGUAACUGAUAAGUUGGGAAGACCUGACUUUGAAGGCAGGCUUCAGCUCCAGUUCCUGUCUCUCCUAAAAUGGUAGUGGCAACUCCUUUCAUAAUGAUCUUUUGCUGAAUGGCUUUCCUCAGAAUCCUGGGAUCUGGCAUGAGUCUGCAUUGCAGAAUUUCUCUUUAUCUGAAGUAACCUGUUGUCUGAAAAGUUGCAUGGUUACUGUUCAGACAAAGCACUUGUAAAGUGUUAAUUCCUUCCCUCAAAAAGAAACUGAACAACCAUGAGGAAGAGUCUAGCAAGCUGUUAAUGCUGAAGACUUAGCAUGACACCAUGUGAGGUGAGCAGCUGAGGACUUUCUUAGCAAGCAGGAAAGAAAAUCUUAAAUUACAUUUCAAAGAAAGAGGGGGAAAAAAAAAAAACAAACCAAACCCACAUGAUUAAAGUAACCUGCUUAGUAGGACAGUUUCCUGUGCUCUACCAACAAGUUCAUUUUUGAUGCUUUGAGUAGUCUGCAUUUUCAGACUCUCCAAGUUGGCCAAAGUAUAAAAUAACAAUUCUUAAUUGAACCAAAAGGUUCUGCAGGUACUGCUUUUGGUCUUUAGUGUUCAUAGGUAGUUUUUACUUCAAAAAAAAAAACCCCAAACCAACAACCAACCAAACACACCUCCCCACCCCAAACCACAGCCUGUGAUUAUUUCGCUAAUGUAACUUGAAAGCGCAUGUGUAAUCUGGCUCUUCCUUACAGAAAAUUAAGAUUGAGUGGUUAGUGUGACAGUUAGUUUAAUGCUAAGUGUUGAUCUGUGUUUCACGAUAGUAAAAUCUCUGUAUAUAUGUCAUAAAAAUAUGUUGGUCUGAUUAUAGGUAUUGCACAUACAAAACCACUAAUGGAAUUAUUGUAAUAUUUUCCAUUAUUUUAAAGUCAGAAUAUUCUGUGAGGGGAAUGUACUUGCCUAGACAGACACUGUGAAACAAUGCAAACGUAUUUCCUAUUUAGAUAUUUGAAUGGCAUAUUGUAACUUGUCAUUAUGUUACUUUCCAGGGUGAGCAGCAAGAAGAAAAUCAAGCUCUUGUAUAAGACUACUGGGGCAGUUUUGGGCCAUUUUGAUUUUGCUGUGAGGGUAUUGUGAACUGUAAAGGAUUACUGUAAGUUGUAGUAUGAAAUCCCAUGUUACUUGUUGAAUAGCACAUUAAACUUAAUUACCUAAAGUUUUAUUGUGUUAUGCUAGCAUUAAUAAAGUGUGUGGAGUGGAUUAUUUCA